GAUGAACGCUGGCGGCGUGCUUAACACAUGCAAGUCGAACGGAAAGGCCCAAGCUUGCUUGGGUACUCGAGUGGCGAACGGGUGAGUAACACGUGGGUGAUCUGCCCUGCACCUCGGGAUAAGCCUGGGAAACUGGGUCUAAUACCGGAUAGGACCACAUUUUGGAUGGUGUGGUGGAAAGUUUUUCGGUGUGGGAUGAGCUCGCGGCCUAUCAGCUUGUUGGUGGGGUAAUGGCCUACCAAGGCGUCGACGGGUAGCCGGCCUGAGAGGGUGUACGGCCACAUUGGGACUGAGAUACGGCCCGGACUCCUACGGGAGGCAGCAGUGGGGAAUAUUGCACAAUGGGCGCAAGCCUGAUGCAGCGACGCCGCGUGGGGGAUGACGGCCUUCGGGUUGUAAACGCCUUUCGCUAGGGACGAAGCGUUAUGUGACGGUACCUGGAGAAGAAGCACCGGCUAACUACGUG
rnacentral:rRNA from 1 species